CUCCGGAUGCAGCCGUCUGGAGCGCCGUCCUGCUGCCCCCGCCCUUCCUUUCUCGUGCUCCCGUCCGGCGGGCUCCUCUUUCCCCAAGUUUCCGCGUCUGGGGAAAUGGGGGUAAUGGCCGGGGUGUCGGCCCGUUCCCGGCUGGGUGACUUCGGGCAGGUUCACACUUCGAAGUGCACACUUGCGUGAAAAACCAUGGUUGUGGGAGGUCAGCGCAUGUGUGCGUUCACGUUAGCGGUCAACAAACGAUUCAGGAUUCUGAGCUCUGCUUUUCUUCGUUGGAAGAGGAGUAGGUAUUCACACCGCCCUGCAUGAAGCCUGUCCUGUCAGAGAAGAAGGUGAUGUGACCACUGAGCUGACACAUUUCAAGAUGCUGGCAUUAAAAACCAGAGCGAUGCAGCCACAAACCAAGGAGAAACAGCCAACACCAGAAGCUGGAAGAGUCAGGGAACAGUGUCUCCCCUGGAGCCCCCAGAAGGAGUACAGCCCUGUCAACACCUUACUUUGCCCCAGUGAUACUGAUUUUGGACUCCGGGGCCCCAGAACUGAGAGAAUAAAUUUCUGUUUGUUUUAA